rnacentral:rRNA from 1 species
UGUCCAGACUCCUACGGGAGGCAGCAGUGAGGAAUAUUGGUCAAUGGGCUAAGGCCUGAACCAGCCAAGUCGCGUGAGGGAAGACGGUCCUAUGGAUUGUAAACCUCUUUUGUCGGGGAGCAGCGGGGCCACGUGUGGCCGAAGUGAGAGUACCCGAAGAAAAAGCAUCGGCUAACUCCGUGCCAGCAGCCGCGGUAAUACGGAGGAUGCGAGCGUUAUCCGGAUUUAUUGGGUUUAAAGGGUGCGCAGGCGGUCUGUUAAUUCAGCGGUCAAAGCCCGGGGCUAAACCCCGGCCCACCGUUGAAACUGGCAGUCUCGAGUUGGAGAGAAGUAUGCGGAAUGCGCGGUGUAGCGGUGAAAUGCAUAGAUAUCGCGCAGAACUCCGAUUGCGAAGGCAGCAUGCCGGCUCCACACUGACGCUGAGGCACGAAAGCGUGGGUAUCGAACAGGAUUAGAUACCCCCGUAC